AAUGUUGUUUCAUUUAUUAAUAAAAUAAUUCAUUUUUUUCUCCUCUUGUUUUUAGGAUGUACACCAGUUGGCUGACUAUUUAGAAGUAUGACAACCCAUAACGUUCAUAUUUAAAAACACCUGCUCUUCCUGACUGACUUUUUGUUACUGUUAUGCAGGAGGCCUUACAAAGAGAAGAGGCUCUUAAAAAGAAGCUCUCCAACCUCCAGAAAAGUGCCACCACAUUACUGCACUCUACAGAGCUCCUGUGGAAGACACGCUGUGAUGAGGACUUGCUGAAGAGUAAGAUCAAAGCCCUGGAGGCUCAGCUGCAGGUUUGCAUCAAGAAGGUUCCUCAGGAUGGAGUGAAAAAAGUGGUGCUAAAGAUGGAAAAACAGAGGGAGGAGUAUGAACAGAAUGCUCUGAAGGCUAUUCAGAGGGCAGAGAAUGAGAAGGCAGAAGCUCAGAGUAAGAUGGAGUACCUCCAGGUAAGACCCCAAAUGCAGAGGUCAGUCUUAAUAACAAGUCUAAAAUGUAACACAAAAUCAUCAAUGUAUACUUGCGAAUCAGACUGA
rnacentral:lncRNA from 1 species